GGGGGGAAAUCUAUCAGUGCUGUGCUGCAUUUUUAACGUUGCCAGACCUGAAGUAAUGAAUGUUUGCUGUGGGUGUUUCAGGACCACUCUGUCCGCUCAGUGUUUGUGAAUGUACGAUCGUUGCUUUCCUCUGACAGAUAAUUAAUGGGUUCUCAGAGAGAAUCUGCUUUCUAGAGGUGAGAAAAAUGAUUUAUGCAAAGAAACAACAGCAAACAUGGCUGUAAAGGAAAUAUACACAUUUGGCUUGGAUUAUGAGAGAGAAAACCUUUCAGCAAGCAAAGUGCUGUUGGCUCAGGCUGUUUCUGAGUAGAAAAAAAUACCUGUAAUUUUUCCUUUGUUCUAUUGCUCGUGAUAUGGAGACUUCAGAUUUAAAGUUAUUUUCUCCAUGCCUGCUUUUAUCAAUACGAUAUCUUUCCAAUGACCUCGUUCAUCCUGGCUGCAUAACAUUAUGCCAUUUGCAACCCAUUACGGCAUGUUUUUCCAAUGAUUGGCAAUAGAAUGCAAUAUAAAGUUGUUUAUAAGGCAGCUUCUUGAGUAUAUGGCUUAGCAGAAGUAAAAGAUAUUGAAAAUAAAUGCUUCCAGAGCCAUCAUCUUUUUUAUUUGCUCAUAAAACUAUUUUGGAACUUGAAUAUUAAAGUGUAAAAUUUAAGCCAAAUUGAAGUGCUGAAAUGUUUACUGAGAGCCAUAUUUUAGGACCAAGUAACUUCAAAAGCAUUAAGAAAACAAAAAAACGGGAUUUGAGGACAGAGCAGGAAAACCCAAACAGCGUGGCUUAGCUACAAAACACUGCGUUCACUGAGAGUGGGAAAGCAGUAAAUAGCCCACUCAUAAGGGCACUUCACAUUGACAAACCCCAGCGAACGCAAGAGGCUGAGAGCCACAUUCAAGCCCCUUUGAACGUCAGGUGAAAAAUAUGAAGCCAAUGCACACAGACUUUUCCUUAGAAGAAGCAAGUCUCUGCCAGUUUACGGUCGUGGAACUUUGCUAAUUUCAGUACAGGGCUCGGAUGGCAUCUGCAAGUGAUCUGCAUUUAGCAACGCUCCCAGGAAGCGAGUGUGCUGGUAUGCCUGUGUGAUGGACAACUUGCUUUGAACAGGUAUUUGUAACAGGCUUUGCCAUCAGAUUUUGCCGUCCCUCCUUUCUGGGAUGGGAAACGAUCCCCAUGAGGUGCUCUGUGCUGUGUUGGGCAAUUCUGUUGCUUUCCACAUCUUCCACUGUUUUUGCAUCGCUGUGAAAAAAGAAAAAAAAAGCAGCACGAAGUGGAAAAAGCUCAUGUUUUCAUAGAGAGCACAGAGGCAGUUCCUGUCAGUCUAUAGAGCACACUGUGCAUGAUGGCCCAACUAUUUUUCUUUCCUGCAAAAAAGAUUCCCUUGAGCAAUCCCAGCUCCAAACCAGUUGGCAACCAGCAGCAGCCGAGCGCUCCAGACCGUGCUGCAUCACAAUACAGUUACAACUAUUUAAAACCCAAUUAAUUCUCUUUCGUACUUUCCCAUCAAGCUGUAAAGCUCCAGUUGGCAAGGCUUUUCGCUUUGAUUUUGAGUUCCUGCUUGGAAGAUUAACUGAAAAUGGAUUUGGCUUGAAUAGUCGCAGCGAACACAUUUUGGUUUAUUUUGUUGCCAUCUCGAAUAACAAUACUUAGCACUCUUCGUCUUCAAAGCAUUAUACAAACAUUGAGUCACAUCCCUCACAACGCUGCUGUGACAUCACCUCCUGUAAAUAAAGCCAUUCUCCUCGCAGGAGGUGGAGGCUGAGCAAGGGCCGGGCGACUUGUGCAGGGUGACAGGAAGAGAAGGGAAGAGGUGGAUGUAGAAGCCAGGGGUUUGCAAGAGCCUUCAGCCCCUGAGUUAAUCGUCUCCACUCCUUCCCUCACCCUCAAGGAGAGGUGAGAAGGUGUGCCACAGCCAUGCUGACCCUCUGGAGCAGGGCACGUCCAGCAAGGGUGUACACCUCUCUCUCCAAGCUCUGCUCUGCUCUCUGCCAGUCACCCCAGAGCACUCCAGCAAUGUACUCUCAGUGAGGAGGUUUGCUCCUGUGAAAGCUUCCUGACUUCUAGGCUGACCAAAGCUGUCCCUUGCCCUGACAAGGCUGUGAUCUGGCAACGCUUGGCAAAGACCCUCUCCUCCUUGCUCAGCAAUACAGGUUCACAGCAAGGUCUGUGCUACGAGGUCUCUCCUGCCCUGCUCAGCAAAUGAGAAGCAUGCAGGGUUUGAACAGGGCACGGUUUGUACACGGCUAACACACUGGGCCUUCCCUGACAUGGGACCUGUGUGCCUGAAUUAGGAGCCUCAGGUCGCUCUGUACUCAAUAGAGAAAGGUGAGUCCUUUCAGGGGUAAUUCCAAGACGUUAAUUUAGGCUCUGGUGACUACAGAGAGAGCCUGUGCUCCUAAAUUAGACAUCUAAAUCAGCAGUCUGUGUGAAGCAGAUUUUGUGUGAAUAUAGCUCUACAAAUACAUACUCUGCAGUACCGUGAAGUGAACUAAUGUCAAACACGCAGAGCGUGUAGUUCUCAUAGCUUCUUCUCUUGAAGAAAACUGACAGAGCAAAUAUACAUUUUAUGUUCCUUUGGACAUCUUGUUUUCUCCCUCAUUUGGCUUCUUCCUAAACACGUGAAGAGAUAUUUCAGACUAAAAGAAUUGGAUUACUCUCUAUGAAGCUGUAAUGUUACCCACAGAUCUCUUGCUAAACGUUCCAAGGCACAAGCAAGGCAACUGCAUCUCCUAAGGAGCAUGACAGGUGUGUGGAAACCAAAUUGAGCAGGUUUUGUUGCAUUUAUGCCUCUCCCUGUGGUCUUGUACCCUUAUUUCUAGACCUGAAGGUGUUGUAAAGAAAUCACAUCACCAAGAGGCUGAAUGAGCCAGAAAUGAAGACAGUGGCCUAGGGUCAUACCCAGGCCCGUUAUUUCUGCUGCAUGGCUUAGAACAAGUUAUUGCACCUCCAUUCCUUUCAGGAGGUAGCCUUGGUCUCAGGAGAUGCUCAGGUGCUUCCUAUAGCAAAUCCUAGUGCUGUUUUUUGAGUUAUGUGAAAAUUGUUGGUAGAAUUCUCAACAGUGUUACCCAAACAGCAGAGCUGAGGCCUGCUGGUGGGCAACAUAAGCAGGCUUGCUUGGUGGUACCCCCGUGCUCUUCCUUCUUCUGACAAAAUUUCAAGCCAUUAAGGAGAAGAGGCAACAGCCCUGUCAAAGUCUUAAAGAUGCUUCUGGAUCAUCUUAAAGCAGGGAAAUAUUUGCAAGAACUCUAGCUCACAGAAAAUGGUUCAGGGGUACUGCAGAAGGAAAAAAAAAUAGAAGAAAGGAAAAAAAAAAAAGGCCAUUUUAAUAUAUAUUUUAUGGUGUGGUUCUGUGAUUAAACUGUACAAUUGUACCAGUCCAGGUUAGCCCUCCUCCUCUGCAGAGACAAUAAUAUGAGGUGUGCACAUCCUCACUGUUCACAAAAAAGCUUUGGCCCUCCAAAAUAAUCUCAUUUCUUCCUGCCUCAACUACAGGAAAUUCCAUCAGAGAGAAAGGUCCUGAAACUAUGAAAGCUGGAGCCAGUGAAUCUGACCACAGAAGGACCAAUGAAACUGUCCAAAACCUCACCUAUAGGCUACAUCACCCUUGCUGCUCUUCUCAGUGUAGGUCAUGUAUUUCUGACAUCUCUAAUUAAAAGGAAAAACAAAAAUGCCAAUAGGCAGCUUUUCAAGUAGCAAGUCUUACUUCCAAAGGCUGACAUUGUUAGGAGCACAGAUUCAGCCUAUGUCUUCAGCAGCACUUCCUUGCACUCUAAUUCUUGCACAGAGAGCCAUUUGUGUCCUUUCUAUCAGCGAGGUAGAAGGAACACAUAAGGAAGCAAGAGCACGUAACCAAACACAAGAAUAGAAAGAGGAUGUCAUUAAAGGAAUUUUGGUGAAACUUUCUCUCCCAUUUGGUGGCUUUUGCUUUAUUCUGGAUACCCUUCACUUCUUCAGAGUUUGCGCUAACAAAUUCACACCCAGGGAUUGAAGUAAACCCAUCACCUGGACUCUAUGAAGUGCAUAAGGAUUCCAUAGCUGUGUAUUUGUCAUCCAUCUCCAGGCUUUCUAGUUGCAGGAUGGCGAAGUACUGCAGGAUAAACUGUGUGAUGAAAAAAGCAGAAACAAAAUCUUGUACUGUUCCUUUUGGAUUCCUAUGUGAAUUAAAGAGGUGAAUUAAAGAGGUGCAGAAGGAUGAGUUCUAAAUUGAUACUUCUCAUUCCAUGAUCUCUGGAGGUCCCUAUCAACCCCUACAAUUCUGUGAUUCUAUGACAAUUCUAAUAAAGAUAGCAGGGUACCAACACUGAAAGCUGGAUCAGGUUCACAUUCCCACUAGCAAUUCUGUAUACCACAUUUCAGAUCUUCUAUUAACCUCUACUGAAGUUUCAGAUAGUACCUCUUACGGGUACAGAAUUAUAUCCCCGUGUUUCAUAUAGCCUUCACUUCACUGUUUUUCAGGUAUAAUGAGGUGAUGAGCUGAGGAAUAAAAAGGAAGAGAAUGGGCAGGAACGGAUUCCUCUGUGAAUGAGCGGCGUUGCGGUGCAACCCUUCCUCACCUUUGCCUACCACAUGGCAGGACAACAUAACAUAGAAAGCCGGUUCUUGAAGCAAGAUGAGCACUGACAGCUAAUUCAAUUACUUCUUGAUUAGUGAUACAAGACAAGGAAGAAAUUAAAACUAACACAACAUUAAUGAGCAGCAGCAGAAAAUUCACUUAAAGGCUUUCCUGGGAGAAGCCUUUGGAAGACCCCGAUGACACAAGGAAUGAAGG
ensembl:lncRNA